GGUGAUUAUAGAACAGACUUCAUCCCAUAUUUUCGUUUUAUCACAUUAAGCAGCUGAGACUGAGUCAACAAAAAGGUUUUUGAAUAUGUUUCUAUGAUUCGCACGAAGUUUUCCAAGGCCCGCCUUCAAACGUAUGGUAUCAUUUCCAGGCUCAGAAUUUCCACCCUAAGAUGUACCGGGGCUCAGCACUGUAACGUGUACAGCUUGGGACAGACAGACUUAGAAAUACUUGUCCUCUGGAGUGGACAAAAAUGAAUGGCUGCAUCUCAACCCUAAGGAACCAGAUUUUACCAAACCACUGCAAAUUAUUUAUUCUAAUCAGAGCCAAACUGUCUCUUGGAGGCCAAUGCUGGAAUCAUACUAAAACAGCAAUCCAAGGACACACGAUGGAAGAAGGCAAUGAAUGGGAAACCCUUCUCCGUACCCUCCACCUACCAUGAAAACCGUGACCAAACAAAAGGAGUCAUCGCACCAUCAAUCUGAGAGGAGCUCUGCAGAAGGACUGGCUCUACGUAAGAAAACAGCAUGAAGAUUAUAAACUGCUUGAACCGAAGUUAUGUCUUUUGCUGGAACGGGACCUCGUUUGUGAUUUACUGUUCGAAAAGACUUCUUUCUGCACGGUGAGUGUCCUUGUCAAAUAAUUUCUUGAG
rnacentral:lncRNA from 1 species